GUAUUCGCCGGAGAUGGCAAGUAAAAUAGUGGUCCUGUGCGCUAUACUCCACAAUAUCGCGGUAAGGAGUAGCGUAGAGCUUCCUCAGACAGAGGAAUUGCCUGAUGAGGAGCCAGGGGUUGUCCGACACUUCGGUGGGGGGAGUGUUACAAGGAGGGGGAGCCAAGUCAGGGCAAGCAUUGUUGCUGAAUUUUUCAGCUGAAAGACCACACAAACUGAGGACGACCACAACGGCAAGCACCACAUGAUGCACCAGCUCAGCACCCUUCCCCUUCUCACUCCCCCUCCACUUCCCAGUCCCCCUCCCCUUCUCACUCCCCCUCCCCUUCUCACUCCCCCUCCCCUUCUCACUCCCCCUCAGCUUCUCACUCCCCCUCAGCUUC